rnacentral:rRNA from 1 species
CCGCAAGGGGCGAGUAGAGUGGCAAACGGGUGAGUAACGCGUGGGCGACCUACCUUCGAGUGGGGGAUAACCUUCCGAAAGGAGGGCUAAUACCGCAUGACAUCCCGUGUUUGGAUACACGGACAUCAAAGCUGGGGAUCGCAAGACCUGGCGCUUGAAGAGGGGCCUGCGUCCGAUUAGCUAGUUGGUGGGGUAACGGCCCACCAAGGCUUCGAUCGGUAUCCGGCCUGAGAGGGCGGACGGACACACUGGAACUGAGACACGGUCCAGACUCCUACGGGAGGCAGCAGUAGGGAAUUGUUCGCAAUGGGCGCAAGCCUGACGACGCAACGCCGCGUGGAGGAUGAAGACUUUCGGGUCGUAAACUCCUUUCGACCGAGAUGAAUAUUCACCGGCUUAAUACACCGGUGAACUGACAGUAUCGAGGGAAGAAGCCCCGGCUAACUCCGUGCCAGCAGCCGCGGUAAUACGGGGGGGGCAAGCGUUGUUCGGAAUUACUGGGCGUAAAGGGUUCGUAGGUGGCCCGCUAAGUCAGACGUGAAAUCCCUCAGCUCAACUGGGGAACUGCGUCUGAGACUGGUGGGCUUGAGUGCAGGAGAGGAACGCGGAAUUCCAGGUGUAGCGGUGAAAUGCGUAGAUAUCUGGAGGAACACCGGUGGCGAAGGCGGCGUUCUGGACUGUUACUGACACUGAGGAACGAAAGCCAGGGGAGCAAACGGGAUUAGAUACCCCGGUAGUCCUGGCCCUA